GGGUGCGUAGCUCAACUGGCAGAGCGCUAGAUUGUGGCUCUAGAGGUUACGGGUUCAACCCCCGUCGUACCCA
rnacentral:tRNA from 2 species